UGGGGAAUUUUGGACAAUGGGCGAAAGCCUGAUCCAGCAAUGCCGCGUGUGUGAGGAAGGCCUUCGGGUUGUAAAGCACUUUUGUCCGGAAAGAAAUCCUUGGCUCUAAUACAGUCGGGGGAUGACGGUACCGGAAGAAUAAGCACCGGCUAACUACGUGCCAGCAGCCGCGGUAAUACGUAGGGUGCAAGCGUUAAUCGGAAUUACUGGGCGUAAAGCGUGCGCAGGCGGUUUGCUAAGACCGAUGUGAAAUCCCCGGGCUCAACCUGGGAACUGCAUUGGUGACUGGCAGGCUAGAGUAUGGCAGAGGGGGGUAGAAUUCCACGUGUAGCAGUGAAAUGCGUAGAGAUGUGGAGGAAUACCGAUGGCGAAGGCAGCCCCCUGGGCCAAUACUGACGCUCAUGCACGAAAGCGUGGGGAGCAAACAGGAUUAGAUACCCUGGUAGUCCACGCCCUAAACGAUGUCAACUAGUUGUUGGGGAUUCAUUUCCUUAGUAACGUAGCUAACGCGUGAAGUUGACCGCCUGGGGAGUACGGUCGCAAGAUUAAAACUCAAUGAAUUGACGGGGUCAUAGCUGUUUCCU
rnacentral:rRNA from 1 species